UACGAAGGGGACUAGCGUUGUUCGGAAUCAUCUGGGCGUAAAGCGCACGUAGGCGGAAUGUGUCAGUCAGGGGUGAAACUCCCGGGGCUCAACCUCGGAACUGCCUUUGAUACAGCACGUCUCGAGUCCGGAAGAGGUGGGUGGAAUUCCUAGUGUAGAGGUGAAAUUCGUAGAUAUUAGGAAGAACACCGGAUGGCGAAGGCGGCCCAACUGGUCCGGUACCUGACGGCUGAGUGCGAAGCGUGGGGAGGCAAACAGGAAUGAGAACCCUUGGGUAGUCCAAGAACC
rnacentral:rRNA from 1 species